rnacentral:rRNA from 1 species
GUGAGGAAUAUUGGACAAUGGGCGCAAGCCUGAUCCAGCCAUGCCGCGUGCAGGAAGACGCAUCUAUGGUGUGUAAACUGCUUUUGUACGGGAAGAAACACUCCCUCGUGAGGGAGCUUGACGGUACCGUAAGAAUAAGGAUCGGCUACCUCCGUGCCAGCAGCGGCGGUAAUACGGAGGAUCCAAGCGUUAUCCGGAAUCAUUGGGUUUAAAGGGUCCGUAGGCGGUUUAAUAAGUCAGUGGUGAAAGCCCAUCGCUCAACGAUGGAACGGCCAUUGAUACUGUUAGACUUGAAUUACAAGGAAGUAACUAGAAUAUGUAGUGUAGCGGUGAAAUGCUUAGAUAUUACAUGGAAUACCAAUUGCGAAGGCAGGUUACUACUUGUGGAUUGACGCUGAUGGACGAAAGCGUGGGGAGCGAACAGGAUUAGAUACCCCUGUAGUCC